UUAAUAUCCUGUUUAAAUACG
rnacentral:piRNA from 1 species